CAUACUCAUGUUCAAGGGCACGUAACACUUCACUGAACGAAAAUCACUUUGGAAUGAUUCAUUCGAUCGGUAUAAAAACAAGAGCGCAACUGUGUCAGACAUUUAAACUAAAACAUUUAACAACAUGUGGGGACAGAUGAUAAUCGCUCUAGCCUGUGCUUCGGAGAUUUUAGCACAAGACUGUGUGAUCCCAUCGAGUUCGCAGUUUAGCAGGGCUUCUUAUCGGCGGUAUCACGGGCGGACUGCUUCCGGAAAGACUAUCUACGACGCCGGAGAGCGGCUUAUUGUCGGCACGUGGAUCCGGGUUGUAUGUAACAAGGACCGUCAAGGAGAUGCUGUUUUAAAAGUCAGCAAUCAUUUGUGCAGCGCCGGAAAUUGGAGCCCAGCACUUCCGGUUUGCCAAGAGUAUGCACGUUGCGGAGCACCCCAUAGGGUUGAGAAUGCCACAGCGUCCGAAAGAAUCACGCCCUACAUAACCUUUCCCCACCAGACUGUUGUACAUUACAAAUGAAAUGCAGGCUUCGAUAAGCGUGGAACGAUAGCGUACGUGAAGUGCGUUGACGGCGAAUGGACGUCAGCCGACGUCAUUUGCGUUGAUAGGACAACGAUAACGUCGGAGAAAAAAGAGAAUACAGAAAUAACUACUCAAAAUAAUGUUCGCAUCCCAAUAACUACCGCCAGGACGAUACCAUUGUGUAUAGAACCAGACAUCCCACACGGCAAGCUCGUAAAGAACGUCAUUUCCGGUUACUAUGACGUCAUAUGUGACGUAGGCUUUAAAGUAAUACAACCGAAAAGUAUCAGAUGCUUGAGAGGAGUUUGGAGCGAGCCGAUACCGCAGUGCGACAUACUGCGCUGCCCACAGUUGAGUGCCAAUUUCACACUAUAUCAAUCACGUCGAUAUUCAACCAGAACCGGGUCCGGUUAUGCACAGCCCGUCGGUCGGGCAUUGAACUCUGGACUCCCCCAUGGUGCGGCGGUGAAGAUAAAUUGCGGUGACGACGCAUACCCAACACUCGGAGUUGAAAGGGCAUGGUGUCACGAGGGCCGUUGGUUGCCAAGGGAACCUAUCUGCAAAAAGUAUUGCGCCCGGCCGGCGUCUGUGAAUCUCAAUGAUGCAAAUACACAACUACUUCCGGUUCCGGAACUCGUGAUGGACGGUGUCAGUGUAACACAGACUUGCGCGGACGGAAAUACCCGGGUGAACUAUUGCGCCGACGGAAGUUGGCUCCAUGGUUUCCUACCAUGUCUGUAAAGUGGCUUACUACCGUACGACGUUAUCGCCAUUGAUGGAAACCGGAAAUAACUGACUAACGUCUUCACAAUUCUAGAUCUCAGUCUCAAGCCUCAUUAUCUGAAAUGUUUGCUUCAUUCAAGGUUAAAUAAGCACAUUAAUUGAGCAUUUAAGAGUGGGACUAAAUGUCUACUCAAUCAAAUAGGACCUGGCUGUUUUACAUCUAAGGCAUCUCAUUUGCUGAUACAAUUUUGACGCAUUUGCUUCGAAACUGUAAACGGUGAAAUAUCCUCAUUGAAUGAGAGAUUAGAUUGAGUGUGAAGUAUAGGAAACUCAAUGUUUUUUCCACCUCAGAAAUGUCAUUUUCAGAUAUUGUUUUUACCCUUUGUUUUCUGAAAUGUAAAAUAAUAGACUAGUGUGAUGCCAGGUAAACGAAAACUCGAAGUUUAAACAUAAAGAACGUUUUGAAAAUAAUUAUUUUAUACAAGCAAAAACAGUAUUAAUAGGCAGCCACCUUAAAAAUAUGUAUGUUCUGCACUCUGAUUGUAGGUACAUGAAAACAAAAGGGACAAAUAUGCGUUUGUUUGGUGAGACAAAUUUUAGAUAGUUUGUUACAUCGCGUUUGUGUUUAUAGGAUACAGAGUUCACGGCUAUAGCUAUAAUUCAAAACAUUGUUAAUUAUUGCAAAUAGUAUGUUUACUUUUCAUAUGAUAUAUUCACAAAGUUUGUAAUACAUUUUUCAUUAAUACAAUACGGAAAAAUGUACUUUGUUUAUCUUUAUACUUAAGCAUGAAGUGCAUAUUGCGAGCUUUUGUGAUUAAUCUAUGUUCGGCGGUGACUGCUGGCUAGAUUGUUCAUCAAAAGUUCACGAAACUUAAACAGAAUGAUUAUUUUGUAAAUCUACAUUCAUGACUUAAUAAAAGUGAAACAUGGU